GCUCGCCCGCUCGCACGCCCCCCCGCGCCCCCCGCCUGCUGCCCUCUCGCUACCAGCUGGUCGGCCUGCGUCCCCGCGCUCCGGACUAUCGGAUGCUCGCCGGAGCCCAGUCGGCAGGGGGCGCCACGCCCGAGCUCCUGCGAGCGUCCCCGGGCCCGCCUCCCUCCGCGACGCCCCCGCCGGCCCCGCCAGCACCGGCGGCGUCGACACCCGAAAAAAUGCUGUGCGGCCCUGGUCAAUGACAAGUCUCUCCUUGCUCCUGUGCACACUCGGUCAUCCGGCAACCGCAGCUGAAGUUGCUGGCCGAACGACUUGAUCUUUGGUCAACCUGUAGUCGUUAGCGCAGCGAAUGGCAUCCAGUGUUAACCACAGGGCCCUGAUCUGAGUGGCAGAGACACUGCUCCCUGACAGCCCUCGGGUUUGAAAGCGUAGAGGUCACCUUACCCUCUCCAAACUCGGUGGGUUGCUCUAUGAAGUUGGCAUGAGCCUCUGAACUGCUUCUGCCACAUGCCUAAGGAUCUACACGGUGGUGAUAUGCUCUCUCAGCAUCCUGCUCUGGCUACCUGCUCCCAUGCCUCCCCCACCACCAUGAGCUUUUCUGGAAUUAUUCCAGUCUGUCUGGAGCCUCUGGUUGUCUCUGGUCCUCUCACCUGACUCUCAGGAUGCCACCUGUCCACUCUGGCGGUCUUAUCAAGCUUGUGAGGCUUCUGGCCUCCAGGGCAGAGCCUG
rnacentral:lncRNA from 1 species